AUACCGGAUAGGAGCACCUGAGGCAUGACGGGUGCUGGAAAGAUCUUUCGGUCAUGGAUGGACUCGCGGCCUAUCAGCUUGUUGGUGAGGUAACGGCUCACCAAGGCGACGACGGGUAGCCGGCCUGAGAGGGUGACCGGCCACACUGGGACUGAGACACGGCCCAGACUCCUACGGGAGGCAGCAGUGGGGAAUAUUGCACAAUGGGCGAAAGCCUGAUGCAGCGACGCCGCGUGAGGGAUGACGGCCUUCGGGUUGUAAACCUCUUUCAGCAGGGAAGAAGCGAAAGUGACGGUACCUGCAGAAGAAGCACCGGCUAACUACGUGCCAGCAGCCGCGGUAAUACGUAGGGUGCGAGCGUUAUCCGGAAUUAUUGGGCGUAAAGAGCUCGUAGGCGGUUUGUCACGUCUGUCGUGAAAGUCCGGGGCUUAACCCCGGAUCUGCGGUGGG
rnacentral:rRNA from 1 species